rnacentral:rRNA from 1 species
UAGUCAUAUGCUUGUUUCAAGGACUAAGCCAUGCAUGCCUCAGAAUCACUGCACUGCAGGAAUCUGCGCAUGGCUCAUUACAUCAGACGUAAUCUGCCGCAAAAUUGUUGCGGUUUCCGCAAGAUUGGAUACCUUGGCGAAACGCCAAGCUAAUACAUGAACAAGGGGUUGCCUCCACUCCAUGCCCGGGUCAAACCGGGCAGCGAGGCGCCUUGCGAAUGAAUGAAACUAGGACCAAUGCCACGCAAGUGGCAGCAACACAAGCAGUGUUGAACCAAUUCAUUCCGUGCGAAAGCCGGUUUACCGGCGUCUUUCGAUGAACAACUGCCCUAUCAGCCAGUGAUGGCCGUGUAGUGGACUGCCAUGGCGUUGACGGGAGCGGGGGAUUAGGGUUCGAUUCCGGAGAGGGAGCCUGAGAAAUGGCUACCACUUCUACGGAGGGCAGCAGGCGCGCAAAUUGCCCAAUGCCAAAGCAAAUGGUGAGGCAGCGAAAAGAAAUAGGUCUCCCAAACGUCAUACGGCGUUUGGGAGUUKSMAWUGGGRKAUAUUYAAACCCAUCCAAUAUCGAGUAACGAUU